GUGCUUGCUUCAGCUGCACAUACACUAAAAUUGGAAUAAUACAGAAAAUAUUAGCAUGACUCCUGCGUAAGGGUGACACACAAAGUCAUGAAGCUUUCCAUAUUUGA